rnacentral:rRNA from 1 species
UGUCAAGUCAGUAUGUCCCUUAUAUCCAGGGCUACACACGUGUUACAAUGGUUAGUACAAAGGGUUGCAAAACCGUAAGGUGGAGCCAAUCCCAAAAAACUAACCCCAGUUCGGAUUGGAGUCUGCAACUCGACUCCAUAAAGCAGGAAUCGCUAGUAAUCGUGGAUCAGAACGCUACGGUGAAUACGUUCCCGGGUCUU